rnacentral:lncRNA from 1 species
GCCGGCGCCGGUUUAAAUGCGAUGAAUGCGUUCGCUAUCACUUUGGCUUACAUGUCAAUGCAUUCGAUGAAUGUCAACGCAGAUGCUGCUAACACUACUUCAACAGCCGCUCCUCCUACUGAGAGUGCUACUUCUCCUCCCAAUAUGAUUCAAUCUUUUCUUAUCUUGGGAACAAUGUUUUGUUUCCUUUUCACAAGCUGCGCUACAGCAGUGGCUCAUGCCACUGUACAUCGCACAAAGUGGUUCUCCAUGCUCGUGGUGAUUAUGAUCCUGGAAGUCAUUCUCUUGAAUGUCACAUGCGCGCUUUAUUGCUACCUACUUACGGAGGGGGUCUUCUGCAUCAUUGCUGCUGCUCUAUUGUUUUUCUCGUUGGUUUUCAUGCUUGGGUUUAUUACUAUCGGCUUCGUAAGUAAAUUUUCCCCAUGCUUCAUUUUUGUACUCCAUUAUUGAAUUUUUGUUUGACAACGAAAAUGAUCUUUCAGCAUGGUUGAACCUGGAUGGAAUGGUGAAGCGUUGAUUGAAGAUAAACCUGGACGGAAUGAUCUUUUGUCAUGAUUUGUUGGAAAGAGGCUCGCAAUGCUACUGGAAGUCAAGUCUCUUAGAAACUCUUUAUGUUGGUGUAGUCUUUCAGCAUGGUUGAACCUGGAUGGAAUUGUUUAAGUGCUGCUUGAAGAUAAACCUGGAUGGAAUGAUCUUUUGUCAUGAUCUGUUGGAAAGAGGGUCGCAAUGCUAUUGGAAGUCAAGUCUCUUAGAAACUCUGUAUGGUAGUGUAGUAGUUAAACAAUGUAAACUGGGCUAGUUUUAUCGGAAGUCUAGUCUUUUUUGUAGCAAAACUUUACAUGCCAGGCACGCCCCUUGUGUCGUCCUUGCGACUCGUAUCGCUACUGUUUCAAAGCCACUGGAAGUUUCAUCCUUGAUUAGCAUUAAAUGAAGGAUUGUUCGGAUAGCAAAAACUACUAGUGCCAGGUUUAUAUAAACUUUUAAUGACCUGUUUAUAAAAUUAUGUUUGGGUUAAUUUAGUUUUCCUAUUUCAG